GAUGAACGCUGGCGGCGUGCCUAAUACAUGCAAGUCGAGCGAACAGACGAGGAGCUUGCUCCUCUGACGUUAGCGGCGGACGGGUGAGUAACACGUGGAUAACCUACCUAUAAGACUGGGAUAACUUCGGGAAACCGGAGCUAAUACCGGAUAAUAUAUUGAACCGCAUGGUUCAAUAGUGAAAGACGGUUUUGCUGUCACUUAUAGAUGGAUCCGCGCCGCAUUAGCUAGUUGGUAAGGUAACGGCUUACCAAGGCAACGAUGCGUAGCCGACCUGAGAGGGUGAUCGGCCACGCUGGAACUGAGACACGGUCCAGACUCCUACGGGAGGCAGCAGUAGGGAAUCUUCCGCAAUGGGCGAAAGCCUGACGGAGCAACGCCGCGUGAGUGAUGAAGGUCUUCGGAUUGUAAAACUCUGUUAUUAGGGAAGAACAAAUGUGUAAGUAACUAUGCACGUCUUGACGGUACCUAAUCAGAAAGCCACGGCUAACUACGUG
rnacentral:rRNA from 1 species